rnacentral:rRNA from 1 species
UGCCCUGUGACAAUGUUUAACGGCCGCGGUAUUUUGACCGUGCGAAGGUAGCGUAAUCACUUGUCUUUUAAAUGAAGACCUGUAUGAAAGGCAUCACGAGAGUUUAACUGUCUCUACUUUCUAAUCAAUGAAAUUGAUCUUCUCGUGCAGAAGCGAGAAUACUACCAUUAGACGAGAAGACCCUAUGGAGCUUCAAACACUUAAAUUAAUUAUGUAAAAAUCACAACCCUGCGGGCAAAACUAUUAAUAUAAUAUUUCUAAUUUAACUGUUUUUGGUUGGGGCGACCGAGGGGAAAAACAAAUCCCCCAUAUCGACUGAGUAUUUAAUACUUAAAAAUCAGAGCGACAGCUCUGAUUAAUAAAACAUUUAUCGAAUAAAUGACCCAGAAUUUACUGAUCAAUGAACCAAGUUACCCUAGGGAUAACAGCGCAAUCCUUUCCCAGAGUCCCUAUCGACGAAAGGGUUUACGACCUCGAUGUUGGAUCAGGACAUCCUAAU